UUGGAGGGCAAGUCUGGUGCCAGCAGCCGCGGUAAUUCCAGCUCCAAUAGCGUAUAUUAAAGUUGUUGCAGUUAAAAAGCUCGUAGUUGAAUUUCGGGGUCAGUAGGUUGGUCAUGCCACUGGUAUGUACUGGUCUCACUGAUUCCUCCUUCCUGAUGAGCCGUAAUGCCAUUAAUUUGGUGUUGCGAGGAAUCUGGACUGUUACUUUGAAAAAAUUAGAGUGUUUAAAGCAGGCUAACGCUUGAAUACAUUAGCAUGGAAUAAUGAAAUAGGACGUUCGAUCUUAUUUUGUUGGUUUCUAAGAUUGACGUAAUGAUUAAUAGGGAUAGUUGGGGGCAUUAGUAUUCAAUUGUCAGAGGUGAAAUUCUUGGAUUUAUUGAAGACUAACUACUGCGAAAGCAUUUGCCAAGGAUGUUUUCAUUAAUCAAGAACGAAAGUUAGGGGAUCGAAGACGAUCAGAUACCGUCGUAGUCUUAACCAUAAACUAUGCCGACUAGGGAUCGGAUGAUGUUAAUUUUUUAAUGGCUCAUUCGGCGCCUUACGGGAAACCAAAGUGUUUGGGUUC
rnacentral:rRNA from 1 species